GAGUUUGAUAUGGCUCAGGAUGAACGCUAGCGGCAGGCUUAACACAUGCAAGUCGAGGGGCAGCGGGAUGUAGCAAUACAUUGCCGGCGACCGGCGGAUGGGUGCGUAACGCGUAUGCAACCUACCUUAUACAGGGGAAUAACCUUUCGAAAGGGAGACUAACACCCCAUAGUAUUGAUUUAAGGCAUCUUAGAUUAAUUAAAUAUUUAUAGGUAUAAGAUGGGCAUGCGUAUGAUUAGCUAGUUGGUAAGGUAACGGCUUACCAAGGCGACGAUCAUUAGGGGUUCUGAGAGGAAGGUCCCCCACACUGGUACUGAGACACGGACUAGACUCCUACGGGAGGCAGCAGUGAGGAAUAUUGGUCAAUGGGCGCAAGCCUGAACCAGCCAUGCCGCGUGCAAGGAAGACGGCCUUAUGGGUUGUAAACUGCUUUUACAUAAGACUAACCGUAUAUUUGCGAAUAUACCUGAAUGUAUUAUGAGAAUAAGGAUCGGCUAACUCCGUGCCAGCCGCGGC
rnacentral:rRNA from 1 species